UCCACCAUAGCCUUAGUCAGCUUCCAACACUCGUUCCAACAAGGCACAUGUUAAGGCAAAAAUGCUCCUCUCAAAGUGAGGAUCGAGAUUCCCAAUAGGACAGAGUCCCCUUAAUCUCACCAUAAGACAUAGGAAAGUUCCCAAUGAAAACCUCAAACCCUAAAGCAGAUGGGGCCUCUCCAUUCAAACCCACUCUUGAAUUUUCUCAUCAGUCCACUCCCGACCUGAGGACUGUAACUUCCUUUAACAAAUUCCUCCAUCCUUACUACUGCUGUGUGUUCUGCUCAAUUCCUUGUUCAGGACACAAAGAGCUGCAUUUACGGGGAAACCCAGCAUCUGAAGAGAACCUGUCUCACUAGAGCUACCCAACUAUCCACCACUCCCCUCUCCCUCAGGCAUCUCUUCCUUCUUCACCUCAAGAAGCUGCCAGACUUGUGGCAUCUGGAGACAGAACAUCCCCAGCUCAUGCAGGUCAUCAAGGAGACCGAGUCGGAGGCCACACUGCCCCUGCUGCUACAAGAGAUCUACAAGGAAAUGUACUGAGGCCCAGCAGUAUGUGACAGCAGCCAUCCUGCAGGGACAUUGAACACCAGCAGCACUACAGAGGAAGAAAUGGAGCAGCUCAAAUGUGCACCCUUUAACCUUGGAGAUGGUAAAUUUGUCCUGCAGUGGUCCUGGUGGCAACCAGCACUCAGAGAGCACAUCUGCUAUUCAAGUGUUGCUGCUCAGGAGCAAGGAAAUUAAGGACAAUCAUGAGCGACAGUCUUAUUCUAACUCACCCUAUAUAAUUAGUUCAUAUUUCUUUAUAUCACAUGCAUAUUUACCAUUUAAUUAAUGGGCAACCUCAAGAUACAUGGUCUGUUCCCUUUCAACCACCCCCUUUGACUUUUAUGCUCCCUCCUGAUGUGGAAAACUGAUCACCACUUUUUAACAACUUUUAUAAUCCUAUAAAUCUAGAUGUAGCCAAAGGUUAGGUAUUUAAAAUUCAGCAUAAUAUUUAUUUGGACAAUAUCAAUUCUGUUUCCUGAAUCUGAAGAAACAACAGACUGUGUUUUAAUCAUAAGACAGAAUUUUCAAGAACAGUUUGAUAAGCUAUUAGAUCCCUGGUACCAAAAU